rnacentral:sRNA from 1 species
CUUAGUCACUAUAGCCACAAGUAUAAUCAGUUAGAAUGAUAAGUUUAACUAGAAUCUAACCCGUGGUACACCACGGAGCAAAUAUUUUAUUUAUAUAUAUAAUAAUAUUAAAUUUUACCGUUUUAUAUUUAGUAUUAAAGUUAUAUUAUUUUCUAUUAAUAGUAUAAUUAAAAAAAUUAGUGAUGAUAAAAAAAUAAAAUAAAUAUUUAACAUGUGUUAUAUCAAUCCAAACCCGUCUCCUUGUAUUUCAUAUCAAUCUAAACCCGUCCUGUUAUACUUCUCGUCUCAUGAUAUUUUAAUUUUUAUGUUUAAAUAUUAAUAAU